rnacentral:lncRNA from 1 species
CUUGAAUGCUUGAUUCCGUAUUAGUAACUAUGUUUUACAAUCGUUGUAAAAGUGUGACUAAUAAGAAGUAAAAGAUAUAUGAGAGAAGAAAAAGGUGCUUCACAUUCGGAACGUGAAUAAAAUAUAGAUCUCUGCGAAAGCAGAUAGUACUUACUUCCUCAUAUGAACUACCAAAGAAAUUGGAAAAACCAAAGAUAGUCUUUACAUUCCAAUUUUAAGGAACUUAAUUCCGUCGCUAUAGUAGAGAUGGAUGAAUGCUUUGUUUGACAAAACAUUGUUCUUUAUUAAUCAAUGAUUGGAUUAUAGUAAUCUAAUUGAUUGUCUCUAUAGUAGAGAUGAUAUGGUAGUGUUAACUGUUUAGAAUAUAAUGAUGCUUAAAACCCAAAAGGUUGCAAGGUAGUGACUAAUCCCAACUGAGUUGUGAUACCUCUAAAACAUAAGUUAUGAGUUGGUGAAAAUGGAUGCUUUGGAUUGUUAGAUCCGGAUCCAAUACCUUCUUAUUAAAAUUGUACAGAGGCGAAAUGUUCGAAUCUUUAUUCUUUUGGAAAGAAGAAAGAUUCACAAAGUUGUUGAGGUUAAUUCACUUAGAUAUUAGUGGCACUUGUCCACAACAUAAUACUACUCAUGUUGUAUGACGUUCACCGAAGAUCACUCUCGGUUGGACUAUAGUUUAUUUUGAAUAAACACAAGUCCGAAUACUUUGCAAAAGGUUUCAAAGAAUUCAAGAAAUGUAAGUUAAUGAGUAAGACGUCUAAAGUAUUUACCUCCUUAGAUUUGAUCCAAGGAAAAGUAACACUUUAGAUGAGUUUCCUUGAAAGAUAUCAAGGAAAGAAGCAUCAUAAGAUAAUGAAUUUCUCCAUUAGGAGAAGAACGAACUUGAAUAAGAUUUAGUUCGUUAGAUGUUAUCUAUUACCCAUAUAUAGGAUAUAUACUUCUAAAAACAAUAUGAUUGUAAAUUAGAAGAUCUUUCCAAAAUUUUCAUGACUCCAUAAGAUGUAGUUGGAAAGAAAGACAAAUCUUAAGCAUGUUAAGAUUUGGGGUUGUGUGCUAAUUAGCAAUAUUUGUUUGAUAACAAUCUUGUGGGAUAUCCUUAAAUUAACUUUUGGAUAUCGCUUCUAUAAACCAACUAACAAAUGUUGUUUUGUUGGGUAGUUCAUUGUAAUCCUACAAUGUGAUUUGCCUAAGAGCUAAUGAACGAGAGAUAGAACUCAAAGGAUGGGUUCUUUGAGAGACAAGAAAGUAAUCAACAAAUAUAACAACCUAGUUCCUAUACCAAAGGCUCCA